rnacentral:rRNA from 1 species
AUACGGAGGGGGCAAGCGUUGUUCGGAAUUACUGGGCGUAAAGGGCGCGUAGGCGGCCCGGUUAGUCAGACGUGAAAUCCCUUGGCUUAACCAAGGAACUGCGUUUGAAACUGCCAGGCUUGAGUCCCGGAGAGGGUAGUGGAAUUCCCAGUGUAGCGGUGAAAUGCGUAGAUACUGGGAGGAACACCAGUGGCGAAGGCGGGUUUCUGGGUUGGCACUGACGCUGAGGUGCGAAAGCUAGGGGAGCGAACAGGAUUAGAAACCCCGGUAGUCC